GGUAUGUAAAGCUCUAUCAGCAGGAAAGAAAAUGACGGUACCUGACUAAGAAGCCCCGGCUAACUACGUGCCAGCAGCCGCGGUAAUACGUAGGGGGCAAGCGUUAUCCGGAUUUACUGGGUGUAAAGGGAGCGUAGACGGUUUUGCAAGUCUGAAGUGAAAGCCCGGGGCUUAACCCCGGGACUGCUUUGGAAACUGUAGAACUAGAGUGCAGGAGAGGUAAGUGGAAUUCCUAGUGUAGCGGUGAAAUGCGUAGAUAUUAGGAGGAACACCAGUGGCGAAGGCGGCUUACUGGACUGUAACUGACGUUGAGGCUCGAAAGCGUGGGGAGCAAACAGGAUUAGAUACCCUGGUAGUCCACGCCGUAAACGAUGAUUAUUAGUGUGUUGGGGGUACGACCCAUCGGUGCCGCAGCAAACGCAAUAAGUAAUCCACCUGGGGAGUA
rnacentral:rRNA from 1 species